rnacentral:rRNA from 1 species
GGGUGAUGCGGAGGGAUCAUUACCGAGUUUACAACUCCCAAACCCCUGUGAACAUACCAUUUGUUGCCUCGGCGGUGCCUGCUUCGGCAGCCCGCCAGAGGACCCAAACCCUUGAUUUUAUACAGUAUCUUCUGAGUAAAUGAUUAAAUAAAUCAAAACUUUCAACAACGGAUCUCUUGGUUCUGGCAUCGAUGAAGAACGCAGCGAAAUGCGAUAAGUAAUGUGAAUUGCAGAAUUCAGUGAAUCAUCGAAUCUUUGAACGCACAUUGCGCCCGCCAGUAUUCUGGCGGGCAUGCCUGUUCGAGCGUCAUUUCAACCCUCAAGCCCCCGGGCUUGGUGUUGGAGAUCGGCGUGCCCUCCGGGGCGCGCCGGCUCCCAAAUAUAGUGGCGGUCUCGCUGUAGCUUCCUCUGCGUAGUAGCACACCUCGCACUGGAAAACAGCGUGGCCACGCCGUUAAACCCCCCACUUCUGAAAGGUUGACCUCGGAUCAGGUAGGAAUACCCGCUGAACUUAAGCAUAU